UCCCUGGUGGCUCAGACAGUAAAGCAUCUGCCCGCAAUGCAGGAGACCUGGGUUCGAUCCCUGGGUUGGGAA
rfam:TPA: Bos taurus chromosome 22, whole genome shotgun sequence.